rnacentral:rRNA from 1 species
CCUACGGGCCGCACCAGUGGGGAAUAUUGCACAAUGGGCGCAAGCCUGAUGCAGCCAUGCCGCGUGUAUGAAGAAGGCCUUCGGGUUGUAAAGUACUUUCAGCGGGGAGGAAGGUGUUGUGGUUAAUAACCGCAGCAAUUGACGUUACCCGCAGAAGAAGCACCGGCUAACUCCGUGCCAGCAGCCGCGGUAAUACGGAGGGUGCAAGCGUUAAUCGGAAUUACUGGGCGUAAAGCGCACGCAGGCGGUCUGUCAAGUCGGAUGUGAAAUCCCCGGGCUUAACCUGGGAAUGGCAUCUAAGACUGGUCAGCUAGAGUCUUGUAGAGGGGGGUAGAAUUCCAUGUGUAGCGGUGAAAUGCGUAGAGAUGUGGAGGAAUACCGGUGGCGAAGGCGGCCCCCUGGACAAAGACUGACGCUCAGGUGCGAAAGCGUGGGGAGCAAACAGGAUUAGAUACCCUUGUAGUC